UGAUUGGCAAUUAAAGUGGUUUUUCAAAAACAAAAGCCAAAAACCAUUUUAGAAACUACAAACAAUCAACCUCUUAAUUUGAUCUUUUAUAAUAUGUGCAAUAUAGUCAUGUUGAAUAUUCAGAAUUAAUACUAUUACAAUGUGUGAAGACAACAAUGUUGAAAACGGCUAUGUAUAAUAAUAAAUACAUAAGAAAGUUAAUAAAGAGACAUGAUUUUUCAAAAUAUUUUAAGAUGAUUAAAAAAAAUUAUAAGAAUGUUUGCUCUGAGACCGCCGCUUCGUGUUUUUCGCUUGCAUCUCAGGUGUUUGGUUUUUACCGGCGUCGUGAGAAAAACUCCUUUCGUUUAUUUUUUUGUUUGUCUGAUGCUUUAUUUGUGGUUAGAUAGUGGGUUAGAUUGUUUUUUUGGUCGUUAGGUGUUAGCGGAAGUGAUGUUGUGAUGGACGCACGUAGGAUCGAA
rnacentral:lncRNA from 1 species